rnacentral:rRNA from 1 species
UACGUAGGUGACCAGCGUUGUCCGGAUUUACUGGGCGUAAAGAGCGCGCAGGCGGUCGUUCAAGUCGAGUGUGAAAGCCCCCGGCUCAACUGGGGAGGGUCACUUGAUACUGAUCGACUCGAAGGCAGGAGAGGGAAGCGGAAUUCCCGGUGUAGUGGUGAAAUGCGUAGACAUCGGGAGGAACACCAGUGGCGAAGGCGGCUUCCUGGCCUGUUCUUGACGCUGAGGCGCGAAAGCUAGGGGAGCAAACGGG